rnacentral:rRNA from 1 species
UAUUUCCUACGGGGGGCAGCAGUGAGGAAUAUUGGUCAAUGGUCGGGAGACUGAACCAGCCACGCCGCGUGAGGGAUGAAGGUACAGAGUAUCGUAAACCUCUUUUGUCAGGGAACAAAGGCGGGGACGUGUCCCCGGAUGAGUGUACCUGAAGAAAAAGCAUCGGCUAACUCCGUGCCAGCAGCCGCGGUAAUACGGAGGAUGCGAGCGUUAUCCGGAUUUAUUGGGGUUAAAGGGUGCGCAGGCGGUCUGUUAAGGCAGCGGUCAAAGCCCGGGGCUCAACCCCGGCCCGCCGUUGAAACUGG